rnacentral:ncRNA from 1 species
GCAGGAAAAGCUGAGCAGGCAGUAUCUCCUGCUGAUGGUAGAUAUGGAGCCGGGCCGUGAAAACGGCAGCAGAAGCAUGAAGCGCAUCUGCGGGACAGUA